AGAGUUUGAUCCUGGCUCAGAACGAACGCUGGCGGCAGGCUUAACACAUGCAAGUCGAACGCAUCCUUCGGGGUGAGUGGCAGACGGGUGAGUAACGCGUGGGAACGUGCCCUUCAGUUCGGAAUAACCCAGGGAAACUUGAGCUAAUACCGGAUACGUGCGAGAGCAGAAAGAUUUAUCGCUGAAGGAUCGGCCCGCGUCUGAUUAGCUAGUUGGUGAGGUAAUGGCUCACCAAGGCGACGAUCAGUAGCUGGUCUGAGAGGAUGAUCAGCCACAUUGGGACUGAGACACGGCCCAAACUCCUACGGGAGGCAGCAGUGGGGAAUAUUGGACAAUGGGCGCAAGCCUGAUCCAGCCAUGCCGCGUGAGUGAUGAAGGCCUUAGGGUUGUAAAGCUCUUUCGUCCGGGACGAUAAUGACGGUACCGGAAGAAGAAGCCCCGGCUAACUUCGUGCCAGCAGCCGCGGUAAUACGAAGGGGGCUAGCGUUGUUCGGAAUCACUGGGCGUAAAGGGCGCGUAGGCGGCUUGAUAAGUCGGGGGUGAAAGCCUGUGGCUCAACCACAGAAUUGCCUUCGAUACUGUCUGGCUUGAGACCGGAAGAGGUAAGUGGAACUGCGAGUGUAGAGGUGAAAUUCGUAGAUAUUCGCAAGAACACCAGUGGCGAAGGCGGCUUACUGGUCCGGUUCUGAGCUGAGGCGCGAAAGCGUGGGGAGCAAACAGGAUUAGAUACCCNNGUAGUCC
rnacentral:rRNA from 1 species